GGAGGUCCGAACCCACGAGCGUUGAAAAGCUCGGGGAUGACUUGUGGGUAGCGGUGAAAUUCCAAUCGAGCCCGGAGAUAGCUGGUUCUCCCCGAAAUAGCUUUAGGGCUAGCCUCAAGGUGAGAGAUACGGAGGUAGAGCACUGAAUGUCCUAGGGGGUAUUGCACCUACCGAAGACUAUCAAACUCCGAAUGCCGUCAUCUUAUACUUGGGAGUCAGACUGUGGGUGAUAAGAUUCAUAGUCGAAAGGGCAACAGCCCAGAUCGUCAGCUAAGGUCCCUAAAUGUAAGUUAAGUGGUAAAGGAUGUGGGAUUGCACAGACAACCAGGAUGUUGGCUUAGAAGCAGCCACUCAUUCAAAGAGUGCGUAAUAGCUCACUGGUCGAGUGAUCCUGCGCCGAAGAUUUCCGGGGCUAAAACUUACUACCGAAGCUACGGCAUCAGUAAUGAUGGGUAGGGGAGCUUCCCAUACGGGUUGAAGCAUGACCGUAAGGACAUGUGGACAGUAUGGGAGUGAGAAUGUUGGCAUGAGUAGCGAGAUGUGGGUGAGAAUCCCACAGGCCGUAAACCCAAGGUUUCCAGGGGAAGGUUCGUCCGCCCUGGGUUAGUCGGGACCUAAGCUGAGGCCGAAAGGCGUAGGGGAUGGACAACAGGUUGAUAUUCCUGUACUACCGAUAACUGUUUGAGAGAAGGGAUGACACAGUAGGAUAAGCUAAGCACACUGUUGGUUAUGUGUGCCCAAGCAUUGAGGCAGUCAAAGUAGGCAAAUCCGCUUUGAUAAUGCUGGGAUGUGAUGGGGAGCGAAAUUUAGUAGCGAAGUAGCUGAUUUCACACUGUCAAGAAAAGUCUCUAUCGAGGUUAAAGGUACCCGUACCGCAAACCGACACAGGUGGGUGAGGAGAGUAUCCUAAGGCCAGCGAGAGAACUGUUGUUAAGGAACUCGGCAAAAUGACCCCGUAACUUAGGGAUAAGGGGUGCCACCAUC
rnacentral:rRNA from 1 species